GUCCCUGUGAAGAUCUCAAGACCUACCGAUAGGAAGUGCCGUUUGACCCUGUAACCAGCAGCUGCAUCUCUCAGCUGCAGGUGUCCAUCCAAUCAUAACCUUUGUGGUUUGGUCUUUGAUGGUGCUCACACCUGCAGUUGUUUGAUUCAUCUGUGGUGUAUGAUUUAAAUCGGGUCUCUGAGGGAU
rnacentral:snoRNA from 2 species